CCUACGGGAGGCAGCAGUGGGGAAUAUUGCACAAUGGGGGAAACCCUGAUGCAGCGACGCCGCGUGAAGGAUGAAGUAUUUCGGUAUGUACACUUCUAUCAGCAGGUAAGAAAAUGACGGUACGUGACUAAGAAGCCCCGGCUAACUACGUGCCAGCAGCCGCGGUAAUACGUAGGGGGCACGCGUUAUCCGGAAUUACUGGGUGUAAAGUGAGCGUAGGCGGGACGGCAAGUCAGAUGUGAAAACUGAGGGCUCAACCUUCAGACUGCAUUUGAAACUGCUGUUCUUGAGUGAAGUAGAGGGAAGCGGAAGUCCUAGUGUAGCUGUGAAAUGCGUAGAUAUUAGGAGGAACAUCGGUGGCGAAGGCGGCUUACUGGGCUUUUACUGACGCUGAGGCUCGAAAGCGUGGGGAGCAAACAGGAUUAGAUACCCCUGUAGUC
rnacentral:rRNA from 1 species